GGGAGCUGGGGCUGCUUCUUCACGAAAAUAUACGCCUAUACACACGCACACAGUACAAACACACACAUAUACAACAGAGGGGACGCCUGGGAAUUGGGGGUAAGGGCUGGCGGCAGUGCUUCACAAAACACACACACACAAUAUACAGAGACACGAAGAGAAGGGCGUAGCUGGGGCGGGGCUUCUUUUGAAAAAUAUACACACAAUACAUGCUGAUACACAACAGAAAAAAGCUGCGCAGCUUUUGGAAAAAGACCCCCACCCCCUGGUGAUCGUCUUCUUCGACGAACCAGACGACCCCUGCUGUUUCUUCCAUUUUUUCAUUUCACGACAGCACCGAUAAACACGCACACACGUACAACUGACUGGGAAUACAGCAGAAACAGUGACAAUACAUGAGAGUUUUCCAGUCGUCGAGCCGUUGAGGUCGUCACCGAAGUUCCGCUCAUCGAUCUCUGUUCGUUUCCAAAUCUGUUUGCUUCCGCCUGAGCUAAUCUUUUGCUGGCUUAUGCUUCGAAGUUCCACUCAUUGUUCUCGGUUCGUUUCCAAAUCUGCUCGCUUCCGCCUGAGCUAAUCUUUUGCUGGCUUAUGUUGCUUGUGUAAUUGCUGAACACUUCCGCUAAAUUGGAAGCUUGAUUUUCAGGUUCAUAAUCUAUUUUUCCCAUAUCAUUUAAUUUUGUUGGAUUUCCGUUACAUGUACUAUGUUUUACUUUCAUGCCUAAGGUCUGUGCUUUCGAAUUUAUUUUUCUUGGAGAUAGAUUGCGAUGUGAUGUGAUUUUUCUGAUGACUGAGUUAGUGUUCGAAUCCGUCGAGCCUCACAUGAAUAUACCGUAUGUUGGAUUGGUUUUCUUGGUUGAAUUUCAAUUGAGUCGAGUUUGAAGUUAUCCUAACUCACUUGUCGAUGUAGAUGUUAGUGGUAAAACGACUUACUGCCUGUAUUGAGGAAACAUUAGUUUUGGAAAACAACCCUACUGCUUGAAUGAAUGAGAGUG
rnacentral:lncRNA from 1 species